GACGAACGCUGGCGGCGUGCUUAACACAUGCAAGUCGAACGGAAAGGCCCUGCUUUUGUGGGGUGCUCGAGUGGCGAACGGGUGAGUAACACGUGAGUAACCUGCCCUUGACUUUGGGAUAACUUCAGGAAACUGGGGCUAAUACCGGAUAGGAGCUCCUGCUGCAUGGUGGGGGUUGGAAAGUUUCGGCGGUUGGGGAUGGACUCGCGGCUUAUCAGCUUGUUGGUGGGGUAGUGGCUUACCAAGGCUUUGACGGGUAGCCGGCCUGUGAGGGUGAACGGCCACAUUGGGACUGAGAUACGGCCCAGACUCCUACGGGAGGCAGGAGUGGGGAAUAUUGCACAAUGGGCGGAAGCCUGAUGCAGCAACGCCGCGUGCGGGAUGACGGCCUUCGGGUUGUAAACCGCUUUCGCCUGUGACGAAGCGUGAGUGACGGUAAUGGGUAAAGAAGCACCGGCUAACUACGU
rnacentral:rRNA from 1 species